AGGACGAACGCUGGCGGCGUGCCUAACACAUGCAAGUCGAGCGGGGAUAGGGCUUCGGUCCUAUUCUAGCGGCGGACGGGUGAGUAACGCGUGAACAAUCUGUCCUGUACAGGGGGAUAACACUUGGAAACAGGUGCUAAUACCGCAUAAGCCCACGGCCCGGCAUCGGGCAGGGGGAAAAGGGGCAACUCGGUAUAGGGUGAGUUCGCGUCCCAUUAGCUGGUUGGCGGGGUAAAGGCCCACCAAGGCAACGAUGGGUAGCCGACCUGAGAGGGUGAUCGGCCACACUGGAACUGAGAAACGGUCCAGACUCCUACGGGAGGCAGCAGUGGGGAAUAUUGGGCAAUGGGGGAAACCCUGAACCCCCAGCAACGCCGCGUGAGGGAAGAAGGCUUUCGGGUCGUAAACCUCUGUCCCAUGGGAAGAGCAGAAGACGGUACCAUGGGAGGAAGCCCCGGCUAACUACGUGCCAGCAGCUGC
rnacentral:rRNA from 1 species